UCCGUAGGUGAACCUGCGGGAGGACAUUACCUAGAGUUGUAGGCUUUGCCUGCUAUCUCUUACCCAUGUCUUUUGAGUACCUUACGUUUCCUCGGUGGGUUCGCCCACCGAUUGGACAAAUUUAAACCCUUUGCAGUUGAAAUCAGCGUCUGAAAAAACUUAAUAGUUACAACUUUCAACAACGGAUCUCUUGGUUCUGGCAUCGAUGAAGAACGCAGCGAAAUGCGAUAAGUAGUGUGAAUUGCAGAAUUCAGUGAAUCAUCGAAUCUUUGAACGCACAUUGCGCCCCUUGGUAUUCCAUGGGGCAUGCCUGUUCGAGCGUCAUUUGUACCUUCAAGCUCUGCUUGGUGUUGGGUGUUUGUCUCCUGUAGACUCGCCUCAAAACAAUUGGCAGCCGGCGUAUUGAUUUCGGAGCGCAGUACAUCUCGCGCUUUGCACUCAUAACGACGACAUCCAAAAGUACAUUUUUACACUCUUGACCUCGGAUCAGGUAGGGAUACCCGCUGAACUUAAGCAUAUCAAUAAGCGGAGGA
rnacentral:rRNA from 1 species